GCGGCCACCCCUCUUCCUGGCAGGAACGCAGCACCUGACCACGGUGCUGGGAGGGGGCACGAUCCACCCACCUGCCUCACCUGAGCUUAGAAUCUCACUGUGCAUCUGGAGGGGGAGUGACCCGCCUGCCCACCAGCCCUUCUAGAACUGCGUACUCCAGGAGAAGAAUGCGAGCUAGCUGACCCAGGGCUAUCUCAUCUGCGAGUUAAUCGAACUGGGCCUGAGCUGAUCUGCUGGCAUCUUGCAGUUUUCUGAACUUCUCGACUUUUUCUCGCUCUAUGGCCUGCAACAUGAUAGCAAAGUACUACAAUGUGGAAGAAAUCUUCCUGGAAGUGAGUCUCUCCAACGUGACUCACCUGUUCUUCAGUAAAACGUUGCCAUUUCAGAAGGAUGUCUUGUA